UCAAGUUAAACAAUACAAAUUCAGUUUUUUAAUGCAAUUAUUCAAGUUGAGCAAUUCAAAUUCAAUUUCUACUGACACAAAUAUCAGCCGAUACAGGACCCAGCUGAUUACAAGGGCCCUCGAAGGAUAGCAACAAUUGCCAUGUGGAUCAUGAUCAGAAUGCAUUCAUUCAUUCAUUCAUACUGUGUAGGCAUAAUGAGUUGCUGUGCUUUUCUUGGUUGCUUUUGUUGUGUGGUUAUUGACAUACUGUGUCAGCUACUUUGUGUUGAUUUGUUACUGUAGGUUGGCUAAAGCUAUUUUGGUUGUUGGAUAGUCAGAGUCAGUAGGUUUGAGUCGAAGCAGGUUGUACCUGUCCAAGGAAAUAAGGCUGGCUGAGUAAGCAGCAUUGUAACUGUCUCAGGGACAAUAAGUUCAUGAAUAUUUGAGUUCAUAUAGCCAUUAAAAAUGAAAAAAAAAAAUGUAAAGUAAGAUGUUAAAAGGGCUAACAUUAACAAGAAAUGUGUCUUCAAAUAUGCAAUUUUAAAUAAUGGUAAAAAAUGUCUUAUGUAAGGUUUAUUUCAACUAACAACAGAGUAAUGGGUAAUGGGCCACAUGACCAGAGUUAAGUUAAGGGCAUAACCAUGGCAUUAUGGGUAAGAGACAAUUUGAAUGCAGAGCAGAGCAAGGAACGACAUACAUCCCCAAAUUAACCAUAAUCUGCACUUGGUUUAAGAGGACAUUUUCACAUUUUCACUGUGUCUGCUGAUAAAGGAGAGAGUGAGAUAAAAUAAAUCUUCAAAAGACAUUUGUAUUAUGCGUGGCCAUUAUUUCUUGGGACCAGUGUAGCUACAAACAUCAUCAUGAUUUUAGCUGAAUUGUGUCUUUAUUUCUUUUAUCAUAUUCUGGUCCUUUUAAUAUCUUUCAUUACCUAUUAACUCUCCAUUUAAUUAUUUUAAUUUGUUGCCAUGUGACCUGGGUUUAGAAAAGUGCUCUACAUAGUGUACUGAUAGGCUGCAUGUUUCUUGUGGCAACGCCUUCAUUUGGCGUUUUAUUAUGGAGGGUACGGCCGGAAGUGUCCUGGUUGUAAAGCCAGGUAACUUGAUAGAGCUGUUAUCCACAAGACUUUCUUGGUGCCACGUCGAGCUCCGUGGGGAACGGCAGGUUUUUAACUUACUGUACUUUUUGCUGUAACAAACCUGACGCCUGGAACUCUGGGAGAAACACUGCGAGGUCAUCGUGGAACUGUUCACAACUCUGACUGAUCUUCUACCCAGUAAGAAAGAGGGAAGAUCAAGGAACGCCCCCUUAAAUCGGAAUCCCGACUUCGGAAGUCGGGAGAAUCGCAUACCCCGACUUUGUGAUCCAAGAUGGCUGUCGGGGUAUCAACGGUUCCUGUGAGGACAGCAAAGAAGU